UGAAUCCUGUAAACACUCGAUCUGUUGGAGUUCAAGUUUUCGUGGAAGAGCAGCAGAGAGCGAGAAUCUUUGGUCAAGAGUGCAGCUUCGGUCUGAGAAGAGAUGGAGAACCUGCAGGUGUGGAAGAGGGUCGCAGGGGGCUGGAGCCUAACCCAGCAUACAUUGGGCGAAAGGCAGGAAUACACCCUGGACAGGUCGCCAGUCCAUCGCAGGGCACACACACCAUUCACUCACACACUCAUACCUACGGGCAAUUUAGACUCUCCAAUCAGCCUAACCUGCAUGUCUUUGGACUGUGGGAGAAAACCGGAGUACCCGGAGGAAACCCACGCAAACACGGGGAGAACAUGCAAACUCUGCACAGAGAGGCCCUGGCUGACGGGGAUUCGAACCCAGGACCUCCUUGCUGUGAGGCGGCAGUGCACCAUCCGUGCCGCCUUAAUAAUAAUAAUAAUAAUAAUAAUAAUAAUACAUUUUAUUUAUAGACCACUUUUCAAGGUACUCAGAGACAUUUUACAUAAAAGUGAUACAAUGCUUAAAAUACAAUUAAUAUAGACAAGAAUGUGUAACACCAGAUAUGUGAUAUUGGAAUACAUAUUUGCCAAGUGGUCUACAAAUAAUAAUACAUGCAAUAUUCACAGCUUCAUAUGACUGCUAAUAUUUAAGCUCAGCAUGUGGUGCAUUAUCAGGCUCAGUUUCAUUCUGUCCUGCUCUGGUUUCUCUGUGUGCACCUACACUCAUCGAGCACUGUAUUAAGAACAUUUUUACUUUAUUACACCUACUUAUUCAUGUGAUUAUCUAAUCAGCCAAUUGUGUGGCAGCAGUGCAAUGCAUACAAUCAUGUAGAUACGGGUCAGGAGCUUCAGUUAAUGGUCACAUCAACCAUCAGAAAAAUGUGAUCUAAGUGACUUUGACCAUGGAAUGAUUGUUGGUGGCAGACAGGGUGGUUUGAGUAUCUCAGAAACGGCCGAUCUCCUGGGAUUUUCACACACACUAGUCUCUAGAGUUUGCAAAGAUUGGUGCAAAAACAAAAUCAGCAGUUCUGCAGACAAAAACGUCUUGCUACUGAGAGACGUCGGAGGAGAAUGGCCAGACUGGUCAAAGCUUUAUAGAUAUUUUUUAGGCCUUUUUCAGCUUUAUUGGACAGUAUGGUAUAGAGAGACAGGAAGAAUGGGAGCGAGAGAGAGGGAAAGACACGCAACAAAUGUCAGACGGAUUUGAACCGCCGACGUCGCGGCUCGCAAUGAGCAUGCGGUCAGUGCUCUACAGGCUGCGCCACCGAGACACCCCAGACUGGUCAAAGCUGACAGGAAGGUGACAGUAACGCAAAUUACACAUUACAUUACAACAGUGGUAUGCAGAAGAGCACCUCUGGACUCUCAUAAUUCUAAGUGCGGCCUGUGGUUAAGGUAAAUGACUAGGACACGCAAAGUCGGUGGUUCUAAUCCCGGUGUAGCCACAAUAAAAUCUGCACAGCCGCUGGGCCCUUGAGCAAGGCCCUUAACCCUGCAUUGCUCCAGGGGAGGAUUGUCUAUUCAACUGUACGUUGCUCUUGAUAAAAGUGUCUGCCAAAUGCCUGUAAUGUAAUGUAAGUGGAUAGGCUACAGCAGUAGUCUAAAAAAUAAGUAUAAUAUUUUAUUUAAUAGGCAUUCAGUUAUCACAAACUGCUGGGAUACAUUCAGAGUAAUCUCUUGCCUCCUCUGUUACAGUCUACAGGCAUGGAGGUCAGGACUGAACCAGUUCUUAUCAAGCAGGAGAAACUGGAAGAGGUCUUGUGUUACAGUGACCCACAGCCCACACCUGUGGAAGAGGAACAGGUAACACAGCCCACACCUGUAGGAGAUGUGAAGAAACCGGACACAGAGCCCACACCUGUAGGACACCCAGAGGAGCUGAGUGAGCAGCACAGGUGUGGACACGGUGAUGAGGAGCUCAGUGGACUGGAGUUUGUUGUGAAGGCAGAGCAAGAGGAAGAGCAUGUAGCCCAGAGACUCAAUCAGACAGGAUGUGAACACAGUGCAGGAAGACUCAACAACCUGGCCUCUGAGUAUGUAAUGUAUGAGAGAGACAGUCAGCUAUGGACUUCCUUUACCCAAGAGGACAGUGACAUAGAGACUGAUGAUCCAGUUUGUUCUACCGCUAUAGAACAUUGCUCACAGAAUCUGUCAAUUCACACACAGCUACAACAUGCUCCUGCCACCAUGGAAGUCUCUGGAAACACACUGCCCUCUUUUGGGCCUUCAUAUUUCACAGAGUUUGAUAAGAUGGGUGAGAAGUCGUCUGCUUGCAGUGAGGAGCUCAGAUCAGAGGCCAUUCACACACAGCAGGGUCAGUACGGAGAGAGACUUGUGCACACAGUGGAGAGAGAGAAUCAGACAUUACUGCCCCAGCAGCAGCAACAUGGACCCUCAGUAAAACACAUGAGAGGCGGUGAGAGCCCAGCCCAGCCACACUCAGGCUCUCAGUAUGAGACCAGCUCUACUCUGAGUACCAGGGUUUUCAACACUGGGAAGACAGGAAAGACUCUAACGAGGUCUGGUAUGAGAGAGAGACUGUUAAGUUGUACACAUUGUGGAAAGAGUUUUCAACACUGUAGUCAACUUGAAAUACACCAGAGGAUUCACACGGGGCAGAAACCAUACAGCUGUACUCAUUGUGGAAAGCGAUUUAGUCAGCGGUCUAAUCUUAUGACACAUCAGCGAAUUCACACUGGGGAGAAACCGUUCUCUUGCGCACAUUGCGGGAUGCGUUUUGUCCAGCGGUCUUGUCUCAAAACGCACCAGCGAAUACAUACAGGAGAGAAACCAUUCAUUUGCAGCCAGUGUGGGAAGAGAUUUACUCGGAGAGCUACCCUUCAAGCACACCACAAAAGCCAUGCAGGAGAGAGACCGUGUCACUGCACCCAGUGCGGGAAGACUUUCAAGGGCCAUCGUAAUCUUGUUGUACACCAGAGAAUUCACACUGGCGUGAAACCAUACAGCUAAAUAACAGUAACUAAUGUUGGAAUACUUUUUUUUAUUGAAAGGGCCUUUCCAACUCAUCAGAUUUCUCUGAUUUAAACAGUUUUUAUUACUAAACUGUGGAUUAGCAAGAUAUUACAGUUAGAAGGACAGUUCGCUCACAAAAUUCAUGAAUGUCAGUGUUUCCCAUCAUGUAGCUUUAAUAAAAGGAUUUUUUUUUUUUUAAGUGUAGUUUUGGCUUAUUUUAUUUGAGCUGAACAUUGGCACACCCCCACCAAGAAGAAAUAAGGCUCCAGAGGCAGAAACCAGUCUAACCCUGUCAUACUUUCUAUUCUGCUGCUAUACUGUAAUUUUGACACACAUUGGAAUGCACAAUAAAAAUGUGUGUUAUGUAUGAUGUAGCAACCAUAGAUUUUGGGGGAACAUUGGAGGUGUUGUAGCUUUCCACUAGUUCCUACAAGUGUGCUUGUCCUACACAAAGACCAAUGCUGCAUUUUAUCACUGGGUUGACCAAGGACACAGGCUGGUCCUACAGGAGCAACAGCUAAAUAGUACUGCUGAUUUUUCCUGGAAAUUAUAUCUUGGUCUCCCAAGAUAACUGGGGAAUUUUAAUGACAUUUUCCAGGAAAUAUUUUCAGUAGGCCUCAUAUUUAUUAAUGUCAAUAUUUAUUCAUAUUCACCAUCAGACAUUGCCAUUGGCAUCGUUGAUUCCAUAGCAUUUCAUGCCUUAACAUAAAUCGUAUGCCCAUCGCUGUCAGCCAUGGGCUCACAAAUUGUAUUUGCGAUUUUUACUUGGUAGUUACGGUAAUUUUGACGUCAUCAACCUGCGGAAAUAAAUACUCUUCGCCGAAAACAGACGCUUGUGCCUGUGGCUCUUGAUUUUAUAAUUCCAUCCUUCAUCUCCGUAACGACGAAUAAAUACAUGCUGUUUUAUUAAGGCAUAAGAAAAGGUGGGGUAAAAUCGUUUGGUAAAAUGACGAAUUGUGCUCAUUUUCAGACACAGAUAACCACCAUUAUGGAAAUAAUGACAAAGUCAGCGAUAGCAGAAAUUGGUAAACUUUUUGACGACAGUUGCUCAGUUUUAUGUUUGAAAAUAGCGAGGAGUUUGAAUGAGAAUGAAGCGCUGAAAAAGUUGUUGCAGCAGGACCUGAGGAUGGAGCCACGACAAAAAGAGGAAAUGUCAGGACCGCGUGAGAAGCCUGUCAACACUCGAUCGGUUGGAGUUCAGGUUUUCGUGGAAGAGCAGCACAGAAAGAGAGACUUUGGUCAGGAGUGCAGCUUCAGACUGAGAAGAGAUGGAGAACCUGCAGGUGUGAAAGAGUGUGCAAAUAUGGAGGUCAGGACUGGACCAGUUCUUAUCAAGCAGGAGAGACUGGAAGAGGACUUGUGUUACAGUGACCCACAUCCCACGUCUAUAGAAGAGGAACAGAGGACACAGCCCACACCUGUAGGAGACAGGAAGAAAUCAGACACAGAGCCCACACCUGUAGGAGACCCAGAGGAGCUGAGUGAGCAGCACAGGUGUGGACACGGUGAUGAGGAGCUCAGUGGACUGGAGUUUGUGGUGAAGGCAGAGCAAGAGGAAGAGCAUGUAGCCCGACUCAAUCAGACAGGAUGUGAACCCACAAUCCUCAACAAUCUGGGCUCUGAGUAUGUAAUGUAUGAGAGAGACCGUCAGUUUUGGACUUCCUUGACGCAAGAGGACAGUGACAUAGAGACUGAUGAUCCAGUUUGUUCUAACACUACAGAACAUUUCUCACAGGGUCUGUCAAUUCACACACAGCUACAACAUGCUCCUGCCACCAUGGAAGUCUCUGGAAACACACUGCCCUCUUUUGGGGCUUCAUAUGUUGAGUUUGAUCAGAUGGGUGAGAAGCCGUCUGCUUGCAGUGAGGAGCUCAGAUCAGAGGCCAUUCACACACAGCAGGGUCAGUACAGAGAGAGACUUGUGCACACAGUGGAGAGAGAGAAUCAGACAUUACUGCCCCAGCAGCAGCAACAUGGACCCUCAGUAAAACACAUGAGAGGCAGUGAGAGUCCAGCACAGCCACACUCAGGCUCUCAGUAUGAGACCAACUCUACUCUUAAUACCAGGGUUUUCAUUUCAGGGAAGAUGGGCAAGACUAAUGGACAAGCUCACUUUGUAAAGAAACUGUUCAUUUGCACGUAUUGUGGGAAAGGUUUUGAUCGUUGUGGUCUGCUCUUCAGACAUCAACGAAUUCACACUGGAGAGAAACCAUACAGCUGUACACAGUGUGGGAAGUGUUUCAGUCAGAAAGGUAAUCUUGUCAAACAUGAGAGGGUUCACAGUGGAUAUAAACCAUUUGGUUGCACACAGUGUGAGAAGAGUUUUGCUCAUGCAGCUAACCUUAGAGCCCACCAGCGAAUUCAUACAGGAGAGAAACCAUAUCACUGCAAUCAGUGCGGGAAGAGUUUUGCUCAGAAGACCACUCUUGUUGUGCAUGAGAGGAUACACACAAGGGCGAAUCCAUACAACUGUAACUAGCGUGAGAAUACAUUUUUUUAAAUUAUAAUUUAAAGUCCUGUGAAACUCCUCAAGUUUCACAGUUUAAAUGAACCGGUUUCAUUGAGUAGUAGCAGUAUAUUUGAUUUGCAAUUUGAAGGCAAUUUGCUGACAGAUUUAAUGAGAACAUGUGACAACAUCAAGCAUGAGUGUUUCCAUCCAUGUGGCUUGAAUACAAUUAAAACAUUUUGAAUAAA